CGGAGGGUGCAAGCGUUAUCCGGAUUCACUGGGUUUAAAGGGUGUGUAGGCGGGCUAUUAAGUCAGUGGUGAAAUCUCCGGGCUCAACCCGGAAACUGCCAUUGAUACUAUUAGUCUUGAAUAUUGUUGAGGUAGGCGGAAUAUAUCAUGUAGCGGUGAAAUGCAUAGAUAUGAUAUAGAACACCGAUUGCGAAGGCAGCUUACUAAACAAUUAUUGACGCUGAGGCACGAAAGCGUGGGGGAUCAAACAGGAUUAGAUACCCUGGUAGUCCACGCCCUAAACGAUGAUUACUCGACAUACGCGAUACACAGUGUGUGUCUGAGCGAAAGCAUUAAGUAAUCCACCUGGGAAGUACGUCCGCAAGGAUG
rnacentral:rRNA from 1 species